AAAAAAGCUUGAUUUGUGGUUUCUUGACAUCUUGUACUAGACGUGGAAAAUUGGUUGAAAUGUAUGAAGUUUUACCACAGAAGUUGGUUCAAAGUCUUGAUUGUGAGAACCAAAAUCAAAAACACAUGUACAAUGAAAUCAUAAACCAACAAGACAAUGAAAAGUUCAGUCCAUUAUGGAUUCUUUUCACAGCAAAAUCUGGGGGUGACACAAUAGCAUAAUUAAGAUUAGCCUACCUUAGCCUCUUAUAUAUAUCACCACGGUUGACCCUAUUAGUAGAAUAAUUAAAUUAAGCAGAACUUCUAGGAUGAACAGUGAUGGGUGUUGUCACCUUAUAUAUACUUGCAAGAGACCGAUAUUUCUUCAUCCUCUUUGGGCGAGCAAUCACUUCAACAUCACUCCCAAGUGUCUCGUUGUUUGGUAGUCUUUGAUCAACUACUUCUUCAUCUGAGAAUGAAACUCUCUUCCUCUUCCCUUUAACAUCAUCAUCAUUGUUGCUGCUUUCAUCUUCAUUGCUGAGUUGCAUAAGCGCCUCUACAAGAACGUCAUCGUUAGACUUGGCCAAAGAGUCAUGCUUUUGAGUUUUUCUUGUGUGUAAAGAGGGUGCUUCAUCUGCCAUUACACUAUUAUAUGGCUUUUUGAGAUAUGGGUCGUUAUUGUUUCUUAUAGUAUCUUCUUUCCAAUGACCGCGUUUU
rnacentral:lncRNA from 1 species